rnacentral:rRNA from 1 species
UACGAAGGGGGCUAGCGUUGCUCGGAAUUACUGGGCGUAAAGGGCGCGUAGGCGGCCUUCUAAGUCGAACGUGAAAUCCCCGGGCUCAACCCGGGAACUGCGUCCGAUACUGGAAGGCUUGAAUCCGGGAGAGGGAUGUGGAAUUCCAGGUGUAGCGGUGAAAUGCGUAGAUAUCUGGAGGAACACCGGUGGCGAAGGCGACAUCCUGGACCGGUAUUGACGCUGAGGCGCGAAAGCCAGGGGAGCAAACGGG